rnacentral:rRNA from 1 species
AACGCUAGCUACAGGCUUAACACAUGCAAGUCGAGGGGCAUCAGUUUGGUUUGCUUGCAAACCAAAGCUGGCGACCGGCGCACGGGUGAGUAACACGUAUCCAACCUGCCUCAUACUCGGGGAUAGCCUUUCGAAAGAAAGAUUAAUAUCCGAUAGCAUAUAUUUCCCGCAUGGGUUUUAUAUUAAAGAAAUUCGGUAUGAGAUGGGGAUGCGUUCCAUUAGUUUGUUGGGGGGGGUAACGGCCCACCAAGACUACGAUGGAUAGGGGUUCUGAGAGGAAGGUCCCCCACAUUGGAACUGAGACACGGUCCAAACUCCUACGGGAGGCGGCAGUGAGGAAUAUUGGUCAAUGGACGCGAGUCUGAACCAGCCAAGUAGCGUGAAGGAUGACUGCCCUAUGGGUUGUAAACUUCUUUUAUAUGGGAAUAAAGUUGUCCACGUGUGGAUUUUUGUAUGUACCAUAUGAAUAAGGAUCGGCUAACUCCGUGCCAGCAGCCGCGGUAAUACGGAGGAUCCGAGCGUUAUCCGGAUUUAUUGGGUUUAAAGGGAGCGUAGGCGGAUUGUUAAGUCAGUUGUGAAAGUUUGCGGCUCAACCGUAAAAUUGCAGUUGAUACUGGAUAUCUUGAGUGCAGUUGAGGCAGGCGGAAUUCGUGGUGUAGCGGUGAAAUGCUUAGAUAUCACGAAGAACUCCGAUUG